CGUACACUCCUACGGGAGGCAGCAGUGAGGAAUAUUGGACAAUGGGUGGAAGCCUGAUCCAGCCAUCCCGCGUGCAGGAAGACGGCCCUAUGGGUUGUAAACUGCUUUUAUCUGGGGAUAAACCUACUUACGUGUAAGUAGCUGAAGGUACCAGAAGAAUAAGCACCGGCUAACUCCGUGCCAGCAGCCGCGGUAAUACGGAGGGUGCAAGCGUUAUCCGGAUUUAUUGGGUUUAAAGGGUCCGUAGGCGGACUGAUAAGUCAGUGGUGAAAUCCGACAGCUUAACUGUCGAACUGCCAUUGAUACUGUUAGUCUUGAGUAAGGUUGAAGUGGCUGGAAUAAGUAGUGUAGCGGUGAAAUGCAUAGAUAUUACUUAGAACACCAAUUGCGAAGGCAGGUCACUAAGUCUUAACUGACGCUGAUGGACGAAAGCGUGGGGAGCGAACAGGAUUAGAAACCCUAGUAGUCCCAUGA
rnacentral:rRNA from 1 species